CUUGCAGCCAUAUCACGUUGAAAUAUCGGUUUCCGUACGAUCACCGAAGUUAAGCAACGUCGAACCUUGUCAGUACCUAAAUGGAUGACCGUUUGGAAAUACCAGAUGCUGUAAG